CUUGACUAGGUUUUCAAAAGGUAAACUUUCUUGGAAAUAAAGGGAACAAGAACAGGGGCCUGGGAUCUGGAGCCGAAAGUGGUGGAUUUCAGCCCGGCUGUGCGGGCUGUCAGGGCUCACUGAGUCCUCGGACAAGUUACUACCUUGCCCUGGAACACGGAGUCCUGCUCUGUGGAUGGGAAAACCAACACUUCCCUUGUAAGGUAGUUAUGGGCAGGGUGUGGGCAUUUUAUUUCACUGCAGCCUCAGAAGACCUGGCUCCCUGCAUGAAGUAGGUACCUGCCAAGUACUGGUUUGAGCAAAUUAAGAGCAAUUUCUACAGACAUUUCAAAAUGGAAGCAAGUGGUUGCGACGAUUUGGGUACCGGUUUGCCAAGAAUUUGGAGUUGGACUGGAAAUGCUCCUUCAAAGUUCUGUUCGUGCUCAGGAGUCUAGAUUUUUCUUCCAUCCUACCAGAGAAAUAGAGAACUCAAGGCCAUGCUGUUGGGCUGUUGUAACGAGAAAGAAUGGCCAGAGAAGAGGCACAGUCAUCAAACCGGUUUUCCCAGGAAUGCAGGAUAUUUGUGAUUUUCAUCCUUAUGGAGAGGAGCAGCAGAGCCCAGUGGUGAUGAACCCCGAACUCUGGAGAAGACUCCUUGGACCCGAAUCUCACUUCUACUACCAGUUGCAUGACUUUGGGAUCAAGAUGCGCCUGGUUUCCCCCCACAACCUGCAGGGCUCAGCAUGGACUGUGGCACACAUGGGGUCAGUAUGCAGGUGACAGACCGGAGCAGUGGGUGCAGGUGGGGAAUGAACACAGAGACCUUACCAAGCACCAAGGGCAGAAACAGUGAAAAGCUGCAGGCAACAAAGGGCCAGGACUGGUGAGAGGAUCCCCAGUGGCCACACUGUUCUCUGCUUCCUUCCCCUCCCUCAUCCCCAAUUCCGGACCAGAGAGCAGUGUUGCUGGGAGGUGGGUCCUCCGUGACCCUAAGGCAACCACACAGGGGGAGUCUCAGGCCCAGCCUGACCUCUAAGUGACCUCUGAGGGCUGAGCUCAGCCUUUGACACUCAUGAGCCCUGCCCUCUGCUCCAGAUGUCCACGUUCAAUCCUCACAAUAAAACUAUAAUGACAACAAACAUCUUUAAAGACAGAGUAUACUCCUGGCUCUGUGCUGAGAACUCCACAUUUCCCUUAACCUCACAGUAAAAUUCUGAGAUAGCUAUGACGACUGCCCCAUCGACAGAAGAGGAAAUCGAGUUCAGAGAAGUGAAGUAAUUGGUCUCUAGUCACAGAGCUAGCAACGGAGGAGGACCUGAGCCUACAGUAGCUGCCCCAAGGCCAUGGGGCUAACGACUGUGUUCCAGAGAAGCAUGUGGAUCAAAGGAAAGGGGGAGAGGCUCAGGGAAGGCUUUUCCCCCUAAAUCAGGGCAGGAGAAACUAGGGUACUGCGCAGUGAAUGGGGAAGGACCAGCUCAAGGGGCAGCAUUGACUGCACAAGCGAGAAGGUUGCAGGAGGCCCCUCCAGCUCCUGCAUGCACAAAGGAGAGAGUCAUUUUCAGUACAGGACAGGAGGGGUGGGUGGAAGGGGUUCAGUCUCCUCCAUGUGGGGACAGGCCCAGGGCACCUCAUCACAUUGAAGGACAGGCCUGCCAGGAAAGAAUAAAAGGCCCAGCUCAGCCGGCUGCCUCCCUUCAUCUCACACCUCCGCCUCCACACCAUGAAUGAGAACAGUUUGGGAACACAGCUCCCUCAGUCUGUUGUCUCCUAUUUAGCCUCUGGCUGUCAGCUCACCUUGUCACAGCCAAGCCCUGUAGAAAAGGAUGGGGGCAGGGACUUCCUUGCUUCCCUCCUGGUGCUGGGGAUGUGCCAAGCGGGAGUUGGGAGGCAGAGCGCCCUGGUGCAC